rnacentral:rRNA from 1 species
ACUCCUACGGGAGGCAGCAGUGGGGAAUAUUGCACAAUGGGCGCAAGCCUGAUGCAGCCAUGCCGCGUGUGUGAAGAAGGCCUUCGGGUUGUAAAGCACUUUCAGUAGGGAGGAAGGUAGUGUAGUUAACACCUGCAUUAUUUGACGUUACCUACAGAAGAAGCACCGGCUAACUCCGUGCCAGCAGCCGCGGUAAUACGGAGGGUGCGAGCGUUAAUCGGAAUUACUGGGCGUAAAGCGCAUGCAGGCGGCCUGUUAAGUCAGAUGUGAAAGCCCGGGGCUUAACCUCGGAAUUGCAUUUGAAACUGGCAGGCUAGAGUCUUGUAGAGGGGGGUAGAAUUUCAGGUGUAGCGGUGAAAUGCGUAGAGAUCUGAAGGAAUACCAGUGGCGAAGGCGGCCCCCUGGACAAAGACUGACGCUCAGAUGCGAAAGCGUGGGGAGC